rnacentral:rRNA from 1 species
UUGAACGCUGGCGGAAUGCUUUACACAUGCAAGUCGAGCGGCAGCGCGGGGCAACUUGGCGGCGAGCGGCGAACGGGUGAGUAACAUAUCGGAACGUACCCUAUCGUGGGGGAUAACACAUCGAAAGAUGUGCUAAUACCGCAUACGACCUGAGGGUGAAAGCGGGGGAUCGCAAGACCUCGCGCGACAGGAGCGGCCGAUAUCGGAUUAGCUAGUUGGUGAGGUAAAGGCUCACCAAGGCGACGAUCCGUAGCUGGUCUGAGAGGAUGAUCAGCCACACUGGGACUGAGACACGGCCCAGACUCCUACGGGAGGCAGCAGUGGGGAAUUUUGGACAAUGGGCGCAAGCCUGAUCCAGCCAUGCCGCGUGAGUGAAGAAGGCCUUCGGGUUGUAAAGCUCUUUCGGCAGGAACGAAACGGUAAGGGCUAAUAUCCUUUGCUAAUGACGGUACCUGAAGAAGAAGCACCGGCUAACUACGU